rnacentral:sRNA from 1 species
GUAUCCUUUCCCAUCUCCCCACUCCAAAUCCAUGCACGUGGCCAGGAAGCCCUGGAUCCUGAACACAGCUUCUAGAAGGUUCCCCAUCUGGCAGCUGGCCUGGGGUGCCCCCACAGGGCAGGGGGAUCUGCUGAUCAUACCGUCUCCCUCAGUUCUGGGAAUCAGCCUCACAGUCAUCUCCGGAGACCUCCGGCAUCAGCUCGGCCUCCAGCAGCACCUCGUCCUCCUCAGCCUCCACCACACCCGUGGCUGCCACGCGCACCCACAAGCGCUCCGUCUCAGGGCUCUGCAACUCCAGCUCCGCGCUGCCGCUCUACAACCAGCAGGUGGGCGACUGCUGUAUCAUCCGCGUCAGCCUGGACGUGGACAACGGCAACAUGUACAAGAGCAUCCUGGUGACCAGCCAAGAUAAGGCUCCAGCCGUAAUCCGCAAGGCCAUGGACAAACACAACCUGGAGGAGGAGGAGCCGGAGGACUAUGAGCUGCUGCAGAUUCUCUCAGAUGACCGGAAGCUGAAGAUCCCUGAAAACGCCAACGUCUUCUAUGCCAUGAACUCUACCGCCAAUUAUGACUUUGUCCUGAAGAAGCGGACCUUCACCAAGGGAGUGAAGGUCAAGCAUGGAGCCAGCUCAACCCUCCCUCGCAUGAAGCAGAAGGGACUCAAGAUUGCCAAGGGCAUCUUCUGAGGGCAUCUUCCCAGGGUCUGGCUGGCUGGUAGCCAAGCACUUAUGGACCAGAGUGGCCCAGGCCAGCUGGGCACCUUCCUACCACCUGCCAGCCCAGGGUACCCCAGACUCCAGUUUCAUCCUGAACCUCUCCUGCUGCUGGGAUUGACGCCUGCCAUUGGUCAGGCUGACCUGGCCUCCCGUGGACCACUCGCUGCCUUAGGUGCCUUCUGCUCUCUGGAACCAGAGGACUAGCUGACUUUUGCCAAGGAGCAGUGCCAACGGGCAUGGCAUGGUGCCCUGCCUGCCCCCAGGCACCACCUCUGUACACUUCCCUGACACCUUCCCAGGUGUGGGUCACUGCCACCUGUGCCCAUGGGCACCCCA